GCUGACUCCCAAGUAUCAUUAUCUGCCCUCAAGUAUGAGCUUGCCAUACACCCACGGUUUCCUCAUCCCGUGUACUCUUCACUGAGUCAGUAAGGAUUGAAAGCUGAUUCCAAGUAUCAUUAUCUGCCCUCAAGUUUGAAACCCAUACACCCACGGUUUUCUUCAAGGUCAUGGAAACCAGCACUAAUGAACCCUUUGUCCAAACACCAGCUGCUACAGAAGAUGAUAUUCCCACCCAAGUUGAGGAUUCUGCUGCUACCCAAGCUGCUUCCCAAGCUGAAGCAGCUGCUGCUUCUGAGUUGCCCCCAAUUCCACCAUGCCAAGUGAGUAUGACAGCUCCUGUUAGUGGUAGUUGU